AGGACGAACGCUGGCGGCGUGCCUAACACAUGCAAGUGGAGCGACGAACCAGGCUUCGGCCUGGGGCAAAGCCGCGAACGGGUGAGUAACACGUGGGUAACCUGCCCCGAUGAUUGGGACAACCCGAGGAAACUCGGGCUAAUACCGAAUGUGCCCUACGGCCAUAAGGCCGCUGGGGAAAGGAAGCUUCGGCCUCCGCAUCGGGAUGGGCCCGCGGCCCAUUAGCUUGUUGGUGAGGUAACGGCUCACCAAGGCGACGAUGGGUAGCUGGUCUGAGAGGACGAUCAGCCACACUGGGACUGAGACACGGCCCAGACUCCUACGGGAGGCAGCAGUGGGGAAUCUUGCGCAAUGCGCGAAAGCGUGACGCAGCAACGCCGCGUGGGGGAAGAAGGCCUUCGGGUUGUAAACCCCUUUCAGUUGGGACGAAGCUUCGCCGGUGAAUAGCCGGUUGGAGGUGACGGUACCUUCAGAAGAAGCCCGGCUAACUACGCGCCAGCAGCCGCGGU
rnacentral:rRNA from 1 species